UUUCCUACGGGGGGCAGCAGUGGGGAAUAUUGCACAAUGGGGGAAACCCUGAUGCAGCGACGCCGCGUGAAGGAAGAAGUAUUUCGGUAUGUAAACUUCUAUCAGCAGGGAAGAAAAUGACGGUACCUGACUAAGAAGCCCCGGCUAACUACGUGCCAGCAGCCGCGGCAAUACGUAGGGGGCAAGCGUUAUCCGGAUUUACUGGGUGUAAAGGGAGCGCAGGCGGUAAUGCAAGUCAGAAGGGAAAGCCCGGGGCUCAACUCCGGGACUGGUUUUGAAACUGUGUUGCU
rnacentral:rRNA from 1 species